UUGGAUGUAAACCUCCUGAAAUGGUCACGU
rnacentral:piRNA from 1 species